CAAUAGCGUAUAUUAAAGUUGUUGCGGUUAAAAGCUCGUAGUUGGAUUUCUGCUGAGGACGACCGGUCCGCCCUCCGGGUGAGCAUCUGGUUCGGCCUUGGCAUCUUCUUGGUGAACGUAUCUGCACUUGACUGUGUGGUGCGGUACCCAGGACUUUUACUUUGAGAAAAUUAGAGUGUUUCAGGCAGGCUAGGCCGGAAUACAUUAGCAUGGAAUAAUGGAAUAGGACUACGGUCUCUUUGUUGGUUUGAGGGACUGCAGUAAUGAUUAAUAGGGAUAGUUGGGGGCAUUAGUAUUUAAUUGUCAGAGGUGGAAUUCUCGGAUUUGUUAAAGACUAACUUAUGCGAAAGCAUUUGCCAAGGAUGUUUUCAUUGAUCAAGAACGAAAGUUAGGGGAUCGAAGAUGAUCAGAUACCAU
rnacentral:rRNA from 1 species